rnacentral:lncRNA from 1 species
CAAUUUUCACUUGUGCUUUUCAUUUUACAGUAAUCACAUUUCAAAACCCUAACCUCAAAUUCGUACCUUCAUCUCUUCUAAUGUAUGUGUGCUGCCUCUAUCUCUCUCUCUGAGCACAUUCAGAGAAAAUGAAACCUCAAAUUUCGAUCUCUAUCAUCGUCGAUAUCAAGCAUAGCCCAUUUCUGGCCCCCAAUUGCACAUCCAUAAUCACUCUCAAGAAAAUGGAAGAAUGGUAAGUAUGAAAUUGUGGAAGAAGUUGGAGAGAUGGCAAGAAGUCCAGAUCUAGUGACAUGGAUUAUGAGGAGGAUGAACUGUUCUCAGAUAGGCGAUAGCGAUCCUGAAGGAAAGAAGAAGAAUAAACAAAAGAGUUACCAACCGAGAAAAAGAGGGAAAUUACACUUACAGCACGCCAGCGGGCCCUUCUAAGCAAGGAUGCCUCUUCUGCAUCCGGGAAAAGUCAAAUUGAGUUCCCAAAUGGUUUACCCCCACAGCCGUCUCGAAGCGAGUAUCUUUAUUUCAUUUUUCUGAUUUUUUGUUCAUUUCCUAGUUAUUUACUAGUCAUGUCUCGUCUUUGCCAAUUACCUAUGUUCCAGCGCAAAAGGAGAAAUUGUUAGAAAUCGAACAGCAAUUGAAGAAAAUUGUGGCCGCUUAGAAACGUAGAAUGCUAAAUGAGAAAGCAGCCCAGUAAUAAGAGGUUUGCCUUUUAAUGUUGCUAAAUUUUAUUUACAUUUGUUUUAUAUAGCUUUUAGAACUUGUCAGAAUGAGUAUGGUACAUUAAAAAUAUGCAAGCUGAAGCAAUUAUAAAGUAAACGGCCAAGAUUCCAGUAUGAAUAAAUGAGGAGAAAGUGACGAAGCAGCAGGAAGAGUUAGCAAAGGCAUUGACCUUUUACAAUAUUUAAUGAGAUGUGGGAUUGAGAUUUGUUUUUUAUAUGUAAUAUCAAUAUUUUCCUGUAGGCUAAGAUAAACAUUGGCCUUUUUCUCUGUGUUGGCUUGCAGUUUUAAGUGUCAGAAUCAAACUAAUCAGCAAUUGGAUCGAGUUUCUCCAGCAACAUCCACAUUUUCAAUGGUAUGCUGCUUUCAAACUUUAAAGAAGAGUAUCUCUGUUUCUGAACCUCUGUUUUUUACUUAGACUUGCACGAUUUAGGUGCAUUGCAUGAUAUUUAUAUGAUAAUAGUUAUUGUUGCACUAAUGAAGUGAAUGAGAGGUCACAUUGUCGUUCUCUAAGACAUUUGAGAUAAUGUUUGUUGGUUUUUUAAUCUAUUUUGUACUCGAAGAGAUGACUAGAUGAGCACAAAUGUAGAUGUUUUUUCCUUCAUUAGAUAGUAUUAAAGAUGUAAAAGGAUAAAGGAAAGGCUUUUUUACCUUUUGAUUGUGGAGUUAAUGAAUAUUAUGCCCAUGAUCUUCACUGAUUAUCUAGAUUUGCCCAGCCAUGAUCUCACCUAGCAUUUGAUAAAAAUAGAUUUAAAAUACCACCAGAAUGACUUUGGUUUCCAAUCCAGCUAGUUCAAAGUUGUGCAUUUUAUUUGAAUUUAUGAUAUUUACUACUUGUACAAAUGUAUUUUAUAUGCAUGUAUGUGUAGUGUAAUGAAUUAUAUUUCUUUCGAGUUGAUUUGUGUGGAGCUUUAUGAUGUUGGAAAUUUGUCUUGUUUGCAGUUAUAGAUGGCACUGUACUGUAACUUUGAUGUACGCAAUAGAACUGGAGGUUGUUUUGGAACCACGAGGUUCCAUGCUGAGCUGGCUCAUGGAGCUAACAAUGGCAUUGACAUUGCUUUUAGGUUCUUGUAGCCCAUCAGGGGGCAAUUCUCUAUCCUUUAUCUAACUGAUUUCUAUCAAGAAGUUUAUUGAUUCAGAAUGUUUAUAUUACGUAAUUUGUUUGGUCUGCUUUAUUAAAUAUAAUUUUUUUAGAGAAAUUGGAUUAUUUUCAUCCUCAUCUUGCACAUAGUUGGCUGCUGGUGUUGUUGAAGUUAAUGGAGUACGUAAAAUUCCAAUCCAUCCAGGAAAGCUGGUUAGUAUUUUUUUUCCAACUCAACGGAUGCAUUUAACAAUUUUAUGUUUAGAAUCUGCAUGUACAAAUUGUGAUAUGCUCGUUUUUUGAGUUAUUAUGUUGUCUGUUCAUUAUUAAGAAGCCAUGUUUUAGAAUGUGGUAUAGCUUGUGUGCUUGUAAAGAGUAAGACACAAUUUAUCCCUUUAUGAAUUUAAAUGUCUAUUCAUUUUUUGCAUUUGAACUUUGUCUUAAAUUUGUAGUCACAUACAACUUGUAAGAAUUGAGCCUAGAUGUUUUGCAUCAUUAUUUAUAAUAUGAGAUAUUUGAUAUAUUUUUCCUCUAACUAAUAUUUUAUUACUUUUUAUAUGUUCGUCUUUGACUGAAGUUUUGGAGCUUGUCCUUUCAGGAAUCCUCAUUUAACCAAAUAACAAAUUGUGGUUGAGCUGAAAGUAUAUCUUGGAAUCAAGAAAGUUAUUUGAUUGUCCUGUGAAUUAGUAGUUAUUUCUUCAGUCUUUAGAUUUGAUAUUCUUCUUUUUGGGCUUGGUGAACUACACUAAGUAGUUUGAUCACGAAAUUGUUAGCAUAUAUUUUAUUGGCAUUUGUUUUGGUUUUGGAGGUAACCAAGUUUGUAAAUAAUGCUUUGACCUAUAUUUAUUUGAUUGACAAUUGAGUUUUUUUUCUAUAUUUUGAAAUCAUUUAAA